rnacentral:misc_RNA from 1 species
GAAUACAGGGUUUGGCCGGCAUUUAACUUCAGUUGUUCGUUCAUUCCAAAGAGACAAGAGGGGGAAUUUUGGUACAAAGCCUGAAUUAGGAAUAUAAGCUGCUAAAACUACACUCACAAAGAAAGAGAAGAAGAAGAAAUAGAAGUUGAAGAACCUGNNNNNGAAGAACAUUCAUGAAAAUGAAAAGAUAACUGAAGUCUAAAUGUGCAUCUAACUAGACGGUGCCGGAAGACAGCAGUAACCAAGGAACUAAUUAAGCUGCGGAC